rnacentral:lncRNA from 1 species
UCGAAUCCCCCCUAGCCAAGGGGGGGUUUAGUUCCUCAUAUGCACAAAACAAAGAGAAUUGAAUUUAAACAUUGAAAUCAAAGGAAAAGAAACACCUAGAAAUUCCAGCAGCUUCAACUUGAAUUUCAUGAACUCCCAAGCAUUCUUCUCAUCCUCCUUGGUGCGGCAAAGGACUUAGGGACAGGUUUAGGGCCUUAUGGAUGGUGUAGAACGAUUAUGGAUGGAUGUAUGAGUGUUUAGGGAGGAAGGAUGGUGCGGCAAAGGUGUAGAAUGGUGUAGGGAGGCUGCUGCAAGAGUGGAGAGCAGUUUGGACGAAUUUCUGGAGUUGUUUGUGAAUUGUGGUGAGUUGUCUUCUGAUUUAGGGGUUAAUAGGAGUAUAUAUAGGCACUUAAAACCCUAGGGUAAUCAGAUAUGGACUUGGAUAACCCAAAUCCACAAGGAAAUAGGUCUAACAAUCAGAUUUUGCAAGGGAAAAGGGGUCCUAGGUGCGGCUGGAUAGGAAUAAGGUGGAUAAGGCUUCUAGAUGGCCUUGCAAGGCAAGGAAAUCAGGUUUCUAGAAGGGAUAGGUGCGGCACUUAAAGGAUAGGGCAGAUUAGGGCUUCUAGAAACCCUCUAAUGCAAGGAAAACUCACGGCAAGGAUGGAUAAGGUUUCUAGAACAAGGAUAAGGUAUCUUAAAUGGAUAAGGACUCCUCAUUGCAUUUGGAAACUUUGCCUAUUAGGAUUAGGAAACCUUGUCUUUGUCAUUCCUUCUUCAUUCUGGAUUCCUUCUCCUUCUUGGACUUGGAAAUCUUCUUUGUAGCUACAACUUGAUGCCAUUUGGAUUUAACUUUCCUACUUCAAGUAGGAAACCUUGUUUGAGUAGGAAUCUUCAUCCUCAAGGAAUCCUAAUUCAACUAGGAAACCCAUUUUGACUAGGAAUCCUAAUUCAACUAGGAUUCCAUCUUCACUUAGGCGCUUUCCUACUUCGACUAGGAAACCUUGUUCAAGUAGGAAAAAUCAUCUUCAAAUCUUCAAUUUCGUCCAUCCUCUUGGCUCCAAGCAUAUGACAUCCAUUCCAAGCUCAACUUUGCUCCAAAAAGCUCCAAAAUGCAUCCUUUUGCAUACUUUGCCCUUAGAACCUGAAAACACAUAAAACUAGCUUAAAAGACUACUUAACUAAGGAAAAACACUAUAAAUGCACAAGAACGAGCUAAACUAAGGCGCAUAAAUAUGCUCCUAUCAGUUAAUAUAGGUUAGAAUUAGUCCAUAAACAUUGUUUGAGUCUUAAUUAGUCUUAAAUUCGUCCAAAUAACUCCCUAGCGUCUGUUUUGAGUCUAAUUGUUAGUAUGGUGCUGUUUUGAGUCUUUUAAGUGUGUUUUGAGUUACUUAAGUCAUAAUCUGUUUUCUUUUAGUCUUUUGAGUUAAAUUAAGUUUUAUUUUCGUCCAAAUCACUUGUUAGGUCUAGAAUUAAGUCUUUGUAACUUAGUUUUGCUGAUUUGAGUGUUUUAAGUCAGUUUAGAGUCUUUAGAGUCUAGUCUUGUGUUUUUAAGUCUAAUUUAGUGUUUUAAAGUUUAAUUUGCGUGUUCGAUUAUUUCACAUUAAGUGUGUGUGUAACAGAAGUGAGGGAAGAGAGACUGAGAGUGGCUAAAUCCCGCUUAGAAAAAUCUAAAUGAAAAUACCAAUUUACCCCUCCCUGUUUUUGAUCAUUACAAUUAAGCCCUCGAAGCUUCGUUUCGAAAUUCGUUUUCGAUUUCACAUCCACAUACAUGAAUAUAGUCAAGAAAACAUAAGAAAGAAUAAGAAAUUGGAUUGCGAGUCAAGGCUCGAAUAUUACUUAAGGCACCCACUCAGGGUUAAAAUAGUCAUUUCAUACAUCUCGGGAAUAAAAUACAUUAUUUUAAGGUAUGGGAAUACUCUAUGAUACGAUUCAAGAGUCUUUGGACAGAGCACAUGAAUGUGAUUAAGGAGUAUGUCUAAUAGGUGCAUUAUUUCCUAUAUAUUCAUAUAAUUUAUCUUUAUCCUUGGGUUUUGUUAGGUCUUGGUUUUAAAAGUGUCUUAUUAUUUUUCUUUUCUCAAAUUUAGCUAAUCUACGCACUUAGGACACUUUUUAUGAUAAAUCAUCUUUCUGAAGGAUUUUUGAUACAAGGUCAGUUGGAGAAGGAAUGUAUAAGGCUGAAAAGCGUUGUGUCUGAAUUUUCAUAUUUUUCCAUGGAGCUUGCCAAACAUAUUUUAGGUUUGCAAAUCAAUCCUGCGAAAGGUACAUUCUCAUCAGAAUAUGGCUACUGUGGAAGAAUGAAAAUUUCAAGGCAGUCUCGAUUUUUAUAAUGACGUGCCAUAUAUUAUUAGAAAGAUAAGACAUAGAGCUACAACUUUCUAUUUUUCCGUAACUUUAUGGAAGGUGUAACAACCCAAAUUUGGAAUUCAAAGUGAUUGAAGUGUUUCCCAAGCCAAGAGGGAGUCUUUCCUAGUUUGUCUCUAAUAUUCUUUAAGUCUUUGUUUCAUUUUAGAAGAGUUUUUACCAGACCUUCUAAAAUUUUUCUAGUAUAUAAUGCGUCCUAAGUUUUCUUUACAUAGUACCAUACAUACAAAUUCGUCCAAAACAGAGAAUAGGGUUUAGGAGCACAUCAUCGUUGUUAUUUUGGGUACUAUUGUUCUUUUUCAUGACUUUUAUUGUUAUUGUUAUGACUAUAUAACUUGACACCUUUGCUAGGGCAUGAUGAAACGCUAAUAUGAUGAUCUAGUUUUCUUAUUUUGCCUAUCUUAUGACUCUGAUAGGAUCAUAUUUAUGCGACUUAGUUAGCUUGUUUUCUUGCAUUUUCAUAGUUUAUUUGUGUUCGUUAGAGUGUUUAAGCUAUUUUCGUGUGUUUGUAGGUCCAAAUGACAAAGUUGGCAAGAAAGUGCAAAUUUGGGGCAUUUUGAGGCAGUUUUGGGCAUCAAAUGGAUGGCUUAUGAAUGGAGCAAGAGGGAUGGAUGAAUUUGAAGUUCAAGAGGCUAGGAAUGUGCUGAAAAGAUGAAGGAAAUAAAUCCAAGACAAAGAAGAUAAGGAAUCAGCUCAAAAGAAGGAACAUUAUCCAAAACCUUAUCCAACCUUAUAUUAUCCUUGCCUAAAUCUAACUUUAUCCUAUAUUCUAAGGGUUAAUUAUACAAAUAAAACACAUUAAAAUUGGUUUCUAGAAGCCCUUAUCCCCUCCUACAAAGGUGCCGCACCUUAUCCCUUGUUUUUCUAAGAAUCAGCAAAACAACCUUUCUACAAGGCCUUAUUCCUUGUCCUACAAAUCUGGCGCCCCAAACCUUUCUAGAAGUUCUAGAAACCUGAUUCUACCUUUCCUUGUUGGUUUCUGCCCUUCUAGAUGACCCUUUUCCUUCAAGGAUUGUGUUAUUAUUUUCCUAUACAAAUUAGGCCUUGAAAUCCUUUUCUUUUGCUACAUAGUUGCUGCACUUAAGCCCUAUAAAUACACAUAUAUGCCGCACCAUUCAGUUGACCACCCGCUACCACAAUUCACUACACCAUUCAUCAUAAAUCCCUCAUUGUGCCGCAGCUAAGGAAGGAGAAAAAAGGAAGAAACUUGGAGCCGUGCUUGCUAUUCAAGAAGAUUGGAUUGCUGGAGCGUUCUUAGGUGUAUUCUAUCUUUGAUUUCAAUGUUUAAUUUAAAUUAUCUUUGUUUAAUUGCGAGCACGAGGAACUAAUUUCUUUAUAGUUGGAGGUGAAUUAGAAGCUAUGAUUAUAUGUUUUAUAUGAAUUGAUUUCCUCCAGUUAUUGUUUCAUGAAUCGUGAAUAUGGUUUACUUAUCUGUUUUAUUAAGAACUUGUUCUUGUAUGUUGAUUAUGGUGGCCAACUUAGUUUGCGUGCUUGAAUUUGAUGCUAGAGUAUAAGGGAAUUUCACCUAAUCGUUACUGAUGCGUAAAAUAACUAAACACACAAAUUAACCCUCUUGUUGACAAUUGUAGUAUGGAUAAGUAGGGAUCGUUCUUAAACCGGGGAUUAGGAGGGAUUGCUAAAACACUCUAACUGACUCAAAUCUGUAAAACAAAGUUUAAAAUACUAAACUAGACUCAAAGAAUGCAAAACUAAACUCUAAAACACUAAAACAAACCAAAAGACUCAAAACAGCAAACAAACACUCAAAACUGCCUAAAAACCACUUUCUGGGCAGUUUUGGGACUCUAACACAACUUGGACGAAUUUUGGUUUUCUAAUGACCUAAAACACCUAAAAACAUAUUCUAAGACAAGUUCUAGUUAAUAUGACUCAAAGAAAUAAGAUGGGGUUGAUUUUGGACGAAAAUAAAUAAAACAAAGCAAGAACAAUGUAAACAGAUUUUUAGACAGAAUUAAGUAAAUUGAUGGGUUAUAGACUAACUAGAGGGUUCUUCUCCACACAUGAUACACUUGCAUUCAACUUUGAUUUCCAAUUGCUUCUUUCAAUAAACUAUGAAUCUCAACGCCCUAGGUUAACUGUGAUAGCACUUUUUUAACCUUCAAGUUUUCCUAAAGUUAGUGAAUUGGAUGGGAAUGCACAUGCAACAACUGAAAACAUUCUCUAAAAGUCCCUUACGUGAAAAGAACAAUAAAGGUACAAUCAAAGAUCAUUAAGCUUCAUGAAAACUAUAAGCAUUGACGAGGCAAUUGUUACUAUGAAAAGCAUGAAACGUUUGCCAAGAAUUCACUUAACACGAUCGUUUAUAAGCGACCUCCACUACUUGCAAACAUAAGGUUGUAACUAUUAGGUGAAACUUCCUUAUGUUUUAGCUUCAAAUUCCUGCACGAAAACUAAGUUGGCCACCUCAAUUAACACACAAAAAUAAGUCAUCAAUCAAACGGUUAAGCAAAUUGCAUUCACAAUUCAUAAAAUAAAAAUUAGACCUAAUCAAUUCAUCUUGCAAGCAUAAUCAUGGUAUCGAAUAACCCCCUAGCCAAAAAGGCUUAGUUCCUCAUGUUCACAAAACAAAGGAAAACAGAUUUAUACAUUGUAAAUAUAAGAAAGAGAAAACCUAAAUAUUCCAACGAUUCGAUGUUGAACAGCUAGAACCUUCAAGUACUUGUUCUUCCUCUCCUUUGCUGCGGCACAAGGGUUGGGGGUGAGUUUUGGGAGUUAUGGAUGAUGUAGAAUGAUAGGUUUAUGGGUUGGAUGAAUGUAGGGGUCGGCUAGGUAUGUUUCUGGGCAGAAAUUAGAGUGAAUGGUGGUAGAAUGGUGCGGUUGAGAGUGGAGGCUAGUUUCUGGCGUGAAUGGAUAGUAGAUGGAUCUUUUGUGGCUGCAAAAGAGAGUUUUAUUUAAAGGAUUUCAGGAAUUAAAACCCUAGGUUAUUUAGGUAAUCAGAAAUUAAGUCUAAGGCUUCUAGAAAUAAGAAACAAAAUCAGAAAAUUAAAGGAAAAGGUUAGGAAAGUGUUUGAAUGCGGCAAGGGUUAAAAAUAGAUUAGGAAAGUGUUUGAAUGCAAGGCAAGGAAGAGGAAAUACCAAGGGGGUGCGGCAAGGGUUCACAAUGUGCAAGGGAUGUGUAUUUUGAUGUCCUAGAAUGCUUAGGAUGCCUUCAAAGUUGAUAAAACUUAGGAACAUUUAGGAAAGGUGAAACUAAAGUAGGAAACCUUGGCUUAACUUUCCUAUUUCAAGUAGGAAUCCUUCUUGGAGUAGGAAUCCUUGUUCUUCUAGGAAUCCUCAUGUGAUUAGGAAUCCUUCUUCAAUUAGGAAUCCUUCGUUGAUUAGGAAUCCUAAUUUCUUCAAGUCUUCAAUUCAUCCAUUCCUUUUGCUCCAAAAGGCUCCAAAUUACAUCAUUUUGCACACUUCGGCUUUGGAAUCUGAAAACACACAAAAGUGACUUUAAACACUAAAAUAACUAAAGAAACACAACGUAAAUGCACGAGAACAAGCCAAUUAAGUCGCAUAAAUAUGCUCCUAUCAGUUAUGAACUUAUAUUCAUGAGUAGUAAAAGUCGCUAGUCACGAUUGUGUUAAGUAAAUCCUAGGCAAGAGUAACAUGCAGUUCAUAGUUAUAAUUGCCUUGUCAAUGCUUAUGAUUUCCAUGGAACUUAAUGAUCUUUGAAUGUAUCUUGAUGUGAAAAUUAACUUGACACACAAAUUAAACCCUCUUUUUGUCAAAUUGUAGCAAAGAUGUAAGUAGGGAUCGUUCUAGACCGGGGAUUAGGAGGGAUUGUUAAACGCUUGGAAACUGACUUAAACACUCAAAAACAAAGUUAAAAACACUAAACUAGACUCAAAGAAUGCAAAACUAAAAGUUAAAACACUUAAACAAACCUAAAAACCAAAACAGCAACUAGAAGGCUCAAAACUGCCUAAAAACCACUUUCUGGGCAGUUUUGAGCACCUACACUAAUUUGGACGAAAUUUGAUGAAAACUUGAAUCAAAAUACUUAGAAACACAAAUCAAAACACUUUCUAACUAAUCUAAGACUUCAAAUUAAAGGGGGAUUUUGUUUUGACGAAAAUUAAACUAAAGAAAACAGAUUGGAAAUAGGGCAGAUUGUAAAAACGAUUUUGGUGAAAUAGAUGGUUAAAAGGCUAGUUAGGAGGUUCUUCUCCACACAUGUCACACUUGCAAACAAAACGAUUUUCAGUUGUUCUUCCGAUAAACUAUGAAUACUCAACGCCCCAAGUUAACCGUGAAUUGCACUAAUUAACCCUCAGUUUUUCCACAAGUUAUUAAGUUGGAUGAUUGCAUACGACUGAUAGGAGUAUAUUUAUGCGCCUUAGUUAGCUAGUUCUUAUGCAUUGUUGUUAUGUUUUCUUCGUCAAAGUAGUCUUUUAAGCUACUUUCAUGUGUUUUCAGGGUUAAAGGACAUAUUACACGAAAUGAUGCAAUUUGGUGCUUUUGGAGCAAAAAGUGAGCUGGAAUGUGGUGUAUGCAAAUGGAGCACGAAGAAUGGACGAGUUUGAAGGUCGAGGGAGCUUAAGAAAUGAAGAAAUGAAAGUAAAGAACAAAGAAGUCGGAAUUGGCAACUAAAGUUUCUAAAGUUGGAAGUUUCUAUUCUUGGAGGUUUCCAUUUUCGAGAGUUUCUAUUCUUGACUUUGGGCUUUUGGAUGACCCAUCUUUGCCUCUUGGACCUAUGCCGCACCUAACCCUAACCCUAACCCUAGCCCACUUAAUCAGCCGCACUUAGGCCUUGUUCACAUGAAAAAAAUCUGAUUACUUACCCUAAGCCCAUGCCGCACCUAAUGUUCUAGAAACCCUAGUUUUUGGUGGAUUUCCUAACCCUAGCCGCACCUAAACCCUAGCCCAUUUGUCUAACCUGAUUUCUUUAGGGUUUGGCUGCCUAUAUAUAUGUGUUUUACCUCCCUUGGCCAGGGAGACCCUCUCUCCAUAUUCAGAAUUUUCGUCGUCCAUACUUUCAGCCACACCAUUCUACACAAAUCGGAAAAUCCCAAAAACCACAAUUCUAACCAUUUUUCUUCCUUGCCGCAAGCCAUCUACCACCAUCUUUCCAUAUUUUCUAACCUUCCCCCAUCCUUUUGCCGCAACACAUCCAUUCCACCAAAGAGAGGAGCUUUGCCGUGACCUUAGGAGAGGAGGAAGGCUUUGCCGCAUGCAAUCUUCAACCAUUGGAGUUUCUAGAGUUCUUUCUUCCCUUGCUUCUGUUUUCAUGUUUAAUUUAACUUGCUGUUCAAUUAUGUUAAACAUGUGGAACUAAUUUCUUUUUAGUUAGAGGUGAAUUUGAAGCCAUGGACAUAUGUUUUUAUAUGAUUUGAUUUCUUCCAAUUAUGAUUUCAGAAAUUGUGAAUGUGAUUUACUUAUCUAUUUGAUUGAUAACUUGUUUAUGUAUGUGGGUUGAGGGUCGACACUUAAUUUGCAUGCUUAAACUUGAUGCUAGGGUAUAAGGGAAUUUCACCUAAUCGUUAUUAACUUAUAUUCGUAAGUAGUGAAAGUCGCUAGUCACGAUUGUGUUAAGUAAAUCCUAGGCAAGAGUAACAUGCGUAUCCC